rnacentral:rRNA from 1 species
GAAGAGUUUGAUCCUGGCUCAGGAUGAACGCUAGCGGCAGGCUUAACACAUGCAAGUCGAGGGGUAACGGGGAAGCUUGCUUCCGCCGACGACCGGCGCACGGGUGCGUAACGCGUAUACAAUCUACCUUAUACUGGGGUAUAGCCUUUAGAAAUGAAGAUUAACCCCCCAUAGUCUCUUAGAGUGGCAUCACUUCUAGAGUAAAGGUUACGGUAUAAGAUGAGUAUGCGUUCUAUUAGUUUGUUGGUGUGGUAACGGCACACCAAGACUACGAUAGAUAGGGGCCCUGAGAGGGGGAUCCCCCACACUGGUACUGAGACACGGACCAGACUCCUACGGGAGGCAGCAGUGAGGAAUAUUGGACAAUGGAGGCAACUCUGAUCCAGCCAUGCCGCGUGCAGGAAGACUGCCCUAUGGGUUGUAAACUGCUUUUAUACAGGAAGAAACACACCUACGUGUAGGUGCUUGACGGUACUGUAAGAAUAAGCACCGGCUAACUCCGUGCCAGCAGCCGCGGUAAUACGGAGGGUGCAAGCGUUAUCCGGAAUCAUUGGGUUUAAAGGGUCCGCAGGCGGUCAAUUAAGUCAGAGGUGAAAUCCCAUAGCUUAACUAUGGAACUGCCUUUGAUACUGGUUGACUUGAGUUAUACGGAAGUAGAUAGAAUAAGUAGUGUAGCGGUGAAAUGCAUAGAUAUUACUUAGAAUACCGAUUGCGAAGGCAGUCUACUACGUAUAUACUGACGCUCAUGGACGAAAGCGUGGGGAGCGAACAGGAUUAGAUACCCUGGUAGUCCACGCCGUAAACGGUGGGAACUAGAUGUAGGGACCGUUCCACGGUUUCUGUGUCGCAGCUAACGCAUUAAGUUCCCCGCCUGGGGAGUACGGCCGCAAGGCUAAAACUCAAAGGAAUUGACGGGGGCCCGCACAAGCGGCGGAGCAUGCGGAUUAAUUCGACGCAACGCGAAGAACCUUACCAAGGCUUGACAUAUAGAGGAAAAGUGUAGAAAUACACUCCCCGCAAGGUCUCUAUACAGGUGGUGCAUGGUUGUCGUCAGCUCGUGUCGUGAGAUGUUGGGUUAAGUCCCGCAACGAGCGCAACCCUCGUCCUAUGUUGCCAGCACGUAAUGGUGGGAACUCAUGGGAGACUGCCGGGGUUAACUCGGAGGAAGGUGGGGAUGACGUCAAAUCAUCAUGCCCCUUAUGUCUUGGGCUUCACGCAUGCUACAAUGGCCGGUACAGAGGGCUGCAAUACCGCAAGGUGGAGCGAAUCCCAAAAAGCCGGUCUCAGUUCGGAUUGAGGUCUGCAACUCGACCUCAUGAAGUUGGAGUCGCUAGUAAUCGCAAAUCAGCAACGUUGCGGUGAAUACGUUCCCGGGCCUUGUACACACCGCCCGUCAAGUCAUGAAAGUCGGUAACACCCGAAGCCGGUGGCCCAACCUUUUGGAGGGAGCUGUCGAAGGUGGGAUCGGUAAUUAGGACUAAGUCGUAACAAGGUAGCCGUACCGGAAGGUGCGGCUG